rnacentral:rRNA from 1 species
AUCGAUGAAGAACGCAGCGAAAUGCGAUAAGUAAUGCGAAUUGCAGAAUUCAGUGAGUCAUCGAAUCUUUGAACGCACAUUGCGCCCUUUAGUAUUCUGAAGGGCAUGCCUGUUCGAGCGUCAUUAUCACUAAUCAAGCCUGGCUUGCUGUUGGACCUCUGUCGUUAAAACCGACAGGCCCUAAAGAUAAUGACGGCGUUACUUGGACCCUAGAUGCAACGAGCUUUCAUUAGCACGCGUUUAGUCGGACCUUUUAACCCGGUCUUUUUAACCAAUUUUCUAAGGUUGACCUCGGAUCAGGUAGGAAUACCCGCUGAACUUAAGCAUAUCAAUAAGCGGAGGAAAAGAAACCAACAGGGAUUACCUCAGUAACGGCGAGUGAAGCGGUAAUAGCUCAAAUUUGAAAUCUGGCUCUUUCAGGGUCCGAGUUGUAAUUUGUAGAGGAUGUUUCGGGCACGGCUACGGUUUAAAUUUCUUGGAACAGAAUGUCAUAGAGGGUGAGAGUCCCGUCUUGAACCGAUUGCUUCGUCCAUGUGAAACUCCUUCGACGAGUCGAGUUGUUUGGGAAUGCAGCUCAAAAUGGGUGGUAAAUUUCAUCUAAAGCUAAAUAUUGGCCAGAGACCGAUAGCGCACAAGUAGAGUGAUCGAAAGAUGAAAAGCACUUUGAAAAGAGAGUUAAACAGUAUGUGAAAUUGUUGAAAGGGAAGCGCUUGUAAUCAGACUUGAGCUUAACAGUUCCCCCUUCGUUCUCGUUGGGUUAUUCUGUUUUGUCCAGGCCAACAUCAGUUCGGGUGGUUGGUUAAAGACUUUGGGAAUGUAUCUACCCUCCGGGGUCGACUUAUAGCCUAGAGUGUCAUGCAGCCUACCUGGACUGAGGAACGCGCUUCGGCUCGGAUGUUGGCGUAAUGGUUAUAAGCGACCCGUCUUGAAACACGG